GGUUAAGGGGAUCUGUUAGAGGAAUCGAAGCAGUGAACUUAAGCCCCAGUAAACGGCGGCCGUAACUAUAACGGUCCUAAGGUAGCGAAAUUCCUUGUCGGGUAAGUUCCGACCCGCACGAAAGGCGUAACGAUUUGGGCACUGUCUCAACAACAGACUCGGUGAAAUUGUAAUUCCGGUGAAGAUGCCGGAUACCUGCGACAGGACGGAAAGACCCCAUGGAGCUUUACUGUAGCUUGACAUUGGGUCUUGGUACUACAUGUACAGGAUAGGUGGGAGGCUUUGAAACCAGGACGCCAGUUUUGGCGGAGCCAUCCUUGGGAUACCACCCUUGUAGUACUGGGACUCUAACCAUAGGCCAUGAAUCUGGUCUUGGGACACUGUCAGGUGGGCAGUUUGACUGGGGCGGUCGCCUCCCAAAAGGUAACGGAGGCGCUCAAAGGUUCUCUCAGUACGGUCGGAAAUCGUACGUAGAGUGUAAAGGCAAAAGAGAGCUUGAUUGCAAGACAUACAGGUCGAGCAAGGAUGAAAAUCGGACUUAGUGAUCCGGUGGU
rnacentral:rRNA from 1 species